rnacentral:tRNA from 1 species
AGAGGUGUGGCUCUGGGCUAGAGCAGCUGCCCAGCAAGUUCAAGGCCCUGAGUUCAAACCUCAGCACUACUC